rnacentral:sRNA from 17 species
GCAUGGGAUGGCCUUUCUAAAUGGUUUUUUGGCCAAUUCUAUUUCACCAAGACUAUCACAAUCAUGCAAAAAGCAACGGCAUAAAACCGUUGCUUUUUGGAG